UACAGAGGUCCCAAGCGUUGUUCGGAUUCACUGGGCGUAAAGGGUGCGUAGGCGGCGGGGCAAGUCUGAUGUGAAAUCCCGGGGCUCAACCCCGGAACUGCAUUGGAUACUGCCUUGCUCGAGUACUGGAGAGGGAACUGGAAUUUACGGUGUAGCAGUGAAAUGCGUAGAGAUCGUAAGGAAGGCCAGUGGCGAAGGCGAGUUCCUGGACAGUUACUGACGCUGAGGCACGAAGGCCAGGGGAGCAAACGGG
rnacentral:rRNA from 1 species